UGGAUUGGCUUUUAAUCCUUG
rnacentral:piRNA from 1 species